CAUAAUAUCGUACAAAAGGUACACCCUGGCUUCUGGCCAUUUCACUCAUUCUUCAGCCCUCACUUCACACCAAAAGUUCACUUAUGCAUUCAACAGGAUGCCGAUAAACCGAGGCAAUUACAGCCCCAUAAAUUAAAUUCUUACCAACUCAUCUGCUGAAUUUUUAUUUCUAAUUUAAAUUCUGUGUAUGAAUCCUUCUUAUGUUGGCUCUUUAAAAACAAUUAACUCUGAUUUUGCGGCGCAGCAGCAUAUAUUAUACGCAAGUGUUUGUUACAUAUGUACAUGCGAUGUGGGGGCACAGUAUGUGACCGACGCUGUUGAUGUCAUGUCCAGUCAAAGAAAUAAUAACCGGCUUCACAGAAUACACUAUACACUCCACCUUAAGUGAGCAAAGGCAUACCCACUAAUUAAAGAAUUGACAAGUGGAAGCCUCGUGCUGAGAAAAUAAUUUCAAAUUGCGAUUUUGACAAGAGUGACGAUCUUUUUGGCCGGUGCGAUAUGGGUGUUUAAAACAAGUAUGGGAUUUUAUCCAAUUGACGGAUAUAAGAAACCGGAGAGUGCGGAUUAUUGGAGACGAGUGAUUACUGUAAUGAUGAGAAUGAUGAAGACGAGAUAAGAGUAAUUUUCAUUAAAGCGGUUGCUCAGUUCCAUUCCCAAAUUAUAGGGUUCGUGUAUACGGAAAAAGUAUUGUGCAAAUUUUCAAUUGCAAAAUGAGACAUUCUGCUGAAUCUCGUGCAAUUCUGAUUCGUUACAUGCCCAUACAACAAUGUGUGGUUCUUGAACUUUGUGUUUAUGAAAUUGUUGUGCGUGUAAUGAUAUCAAAUAAUAUGUAGCUGCUUGUGUGGUUUUGUUAUUCUUUGAUGGUUCGAUGGUUUGAUGCAAAUAAAGUAAAAUUCCUUCGUUUCAAAACCCUUCUUCAUGAU